CUGGGCUAUGGUGACAUGUAUCCAGAGACCUGGUCGGGCAUGGUCGUUGGAGCUCUGUGCGCCCUAUCGGGUGUGCUGACGAUAGCGAUGCCUGUGCCUGUUAUUGUCAAUAAC
rfam:Gasterosteus aculeatus cont1.007292, whole genome shotgun sequence.